AAGUCGUAACAAGGUUUCCGUAGGUGAACCUGCGGAAGGAUCAUUAUCGAGUCUUUGGUUGGGUUGUCGCUGGCCGCAAGGCAUGUGCACACCCGCCUUAUCCACUCUCAACUUCUGUGCACUAUCGCAUGUAGGGUUGGCUUUGUGAUGGUGACUGGCUUCGCGGCUGGUCGUCGUUGUAUCGCCGCCUUGUGUGUCUCUUACCACAAACGAUUCAGUUAUAGAAUGUCUUUAUUUGCGGAUAACGCAACUAUAUACAACUUUCAGCAACGGAUCUCUUGGCUCUC
rnacentral:misc_RNA from 1 species